AUUUGCUAGAUCUCCUGCCUACU
rnacentral:piRNA from 1 species